rnacentral:rRNA from 1 species
AACGAACGCUGGCGGCAGGCUUAACACAUGCAAGUCGAACGCCCCGCAAGGGGAGUGGCAGACGGGUGAGUAACGCGUGGGAACAUGCCCAAAGGUACGGAACAACUCCGGGAAACUGGAGCUAAUACCGUAUGGGACCGAGAGGUGAAAGAUUUAUCGCCUUUGGAUUGGCCCGCGUUGGAUUAGCUAGUUGGUGGGGUAAAGGCCUACCAAGGCGACGAUCCAUAGCUGGUCUGAGAGGAUGAUCAGCCACACUGGGACUGAGACACGGCCCAGACUCCUACGGGAGGCAGCAGUGGGGAAUAUUGGACAAUGGGCGCAAGCCUGAUCCAGCCAUGCCGCGUGAGUGAUGAAGGCCUUAGGGUUGUAAAGCUCUUUCGCCAGGGACGAUAAUGACGGUACCUGGAUAAGAAGCCCCGGCUAACUUCGUGCCAGCAGCCGCCGUAAAAC